GAUGAAGAACGUAGCGAAAUGCGAUAAGUAAUGUGAAUUGCAGAAUUCAGUGAAUCAUCGAAUCUUUGAACGCACCUUGCGCCCUUUGGCCAUUCCGAAGGGCAUGCCUGUUUGAGUAUCAUGAACACCUCAACUCUUUAUGGUUUUCCAUGAUGAGCUUGGACUCUGGGGGUUUUGCUGGCUCACAGUCGGCUCCUCUAAAAUGAAUCAGCUUACCAGUGUUUGGUGGGUAUCAUGGGUGUGAUCACUAUCUACGCUUGUGGUUUUUCCACCAGGUAACCUUCAGCAGUGGAGGUUCGCUGGAGCUCAUAGAUGUCUCUCCUCAGUGAGGACAGCCCUUUGAAUGUUUGAUCUCAAAUCAGGUAGGACUACCCGCUGAACUUACGCAUAUCAAUAAGCGGAGGA
rnacentral:misc_RNA from 1 species